rnacentral:lncRNA from 1 species
UUUUUUUUUUUUUUUUUUGAGACGGAGUCUCGCUCUGUUGCCCAGCCUGGUUCUGAAUGGCCAGCUUCCUCAGAUGCCUUAACCAGUACAGAAAGUUGUUCUGCUAAGAAGACAUGUUAUGUCUGCCCUGCCCUGAGUGGUAUCUAAAAACACAAGCGAUUGAUUCCCCUUUCCCCAUCAUCUUUUUUGAGCUUCCUUCUGUAGAGUGGCAUUUGCAGCCCUUGCCUGUUAGGUCUCCUUAGAUAGACUGCUUGCCUCUCUAGGAAAUAGGUGGCUAAUAAGGCCGAGGCCUCUUACUAACCCAAACCUGGCUAGAAAGAGAAGGGAAACAGAGUGCUACUAAGUAGAAAAGAUUAAAGAGUCUCCAAUCCUUAAAAUCAAAAGGGAUGUGGGAAAUUCUCAUCUUACCCCAUUAAGGUGAUCCAGAACCUGACAAUUUCCUGAACACAAAGAUGAGGCCUCUCCAAAAGAAAGAUUAAUGGAGUUGAUCAUUGCGGUGGGGAACUUUCCAGCACUCAGUAUUCUCUUGCCUCUCUUCUGGUGGUACCUUCCCUAGACUGUCUUCCGGGAAAGCAGCCAUCUCUUUCUUAGACCAUGUGGUUUAGAGAAGUGCUUAUUAAAAUGUGGUCUCCUGGUGAUGGAUGGGCCACUAUUCUUGUUACCAAUUUGAGACAAACUUCAGGUAAGCAUUUAGAAACUUUUAUGCCAC